CCGUUGUCUUAUGUUUUUCUAUCAGCCUUUUGGGCGAUGAUUCCUGGGGUUUCUGUCAUGAAGAACCAGAGAGAGUAUUUUUGAAGAUGGAUUCAAGUACUAUAAUAAUUAGAAUAUUAACAAAAAAAUAGGUAACUUUUUUACUAUAAUUUCUCUGAUUUCUUUAACUAUAUGAUCGUGUUCUUUAUUCAUCAUAGAAUGAAUCUUGAAGAAUCGGUUCAGGUUUUAAUUGAUUCUGAUUUUGUGAAUUCGCUGAGGGUUUUCACUGAAAUUCAAAGUUGCGGGGUUCAGCAAUUGUGCAACUUUUUCUAUCCUGUUUCCAUAUUUCUUCACCUUUACAUUAAUGUUUUUUGUUGGUUCAUUAGGAUGAGUCUUGUAAGAUUUUUUCUGGGUCGAGUUGGUGAUCAAUUUGUUGGGUUUUUGACCCAAAUUAGAGUGGAUUUUAUUUUUUCCUGGAAAUAAAUUAUUUCCUUAUUUUUAUAUGGAAAAAUUUGUUUCCUUAUAUUUCACGUGAGUUUUAUGAAAAUAUAUUACUUAUUCCACAUUAUUUUCAUCUUUAUGCUAUGUCAUUUACCUAUAAAUAGUGUUAUCCUCUUUCAGUUUAGUAGAAGAUUUUAUUGUUUUGUCGUUGUAUUCUCUCUACAUUGUUAAUUAAUAAUAUAUCUUGCUUCUACGUUUAACUCUCUUUUCUUCUUUACUUUAAACCUUGAUAUAUAUUAUUGUAUUGUUGCAAUCCAUAUUAACUUCAUAUCGCCUCAUUAACUUCAUUCUUUACAACCCCUUGGUCCCAACAAGUGGUAUCGGAGCUUGCGUCUUCUGUGGAUUGGUUAAAGUUUUUCAGAGAUAGCUACCAUGAAAUUUGAUAUUUCACUGCUCAAUCGCAAUACAAGGUCUUCGUUGUGGCAAGUAAAGAUGGGGGCUAUUUUGGCGCAGUUGGAUUUGGACUAUGUGCUGCUGGGUUUUGAGAAGAUGUCAGCUAAUUGGACAACGGAGGAGAAAUAACGGAAGGAUCGAAAGGCUUUGUCAUUGAUUCAUCUUCAUCCAUUCGACAAUAUUCUAUAUGAUGUCUUGAAGGAGAAAACGGCUGCUGCUUUGUGGUUGAAAUUGGAGCAGUUGUGCAUAACUAAGAGUCUUACUAGCAAACUAAUUCUAAAGCAAAAGUUGUAUUCCCACGCAUGGCGGAAAGAGGGUCGUUGGAAGACCAUAUUGUCACGUUCAAGGAACUUAUCGCAGAUUUGAAGACGUUGGAGGUUAAAAAUGAUGAAGAGGAUCUGGCCUUGAUCCUGUUAUGUUCGCUGCCGAGCUCUUAUGCGUCGUUUCGGGACACCAUAUUGUAUAGUCGGGAUACGUUGACUGUAGACGAUGUCUAUGAUGCAUUGCACUCAAAUGAGAAGCCGAAGCAUCUGGUUGGAGCUACAUCAAGUGAUGGGAAAGCUCUUGUAUCUCAUGGUGGUCGAUGGAGGGGUAGAUUUAUGGAGGGGAGCAAUGUGUAUUGCUUCUACAGCAGACGGGGAGGACACUUGAAGAAGGAUUGUGAGAAGUUAUAGGUUAAAGGUGAUUUAGCUGCAAAUCAUAGGGGGCAAUCAUGGAAUUCAGACAAGACUAAUGUAACCGAUGAUUUUUCGAAUGGCGGAGAUGUGAUGUUAACUGUAGUUUAUGAUGUGGAAUCUAAGCCUAACGAGGAGUGGAUUCUUGAUUCGGCAUGUUCGCACCAUAUGUGUUCCGAUAGAAAUUUAUUUCAGACAUAUGAGGCUGUUCAAUAAGGUGAAAUUGUAAUAGGGAACAACAAAUCUUGUCGUAUUGUUGGAAUCGGCUAAGUUAGAUUGCGGUUGCAGGAUGGGACGGUCAGAACACUUAGCCAAGUUCGACAUGUUCCAAAUCUAAAGAGGAAUCUCAUCUCGCUGAGUACCCUAGAUGCAAAAGGGUAUAAAUUCUCUGGUGGAGGUGGAGUCUUGAAGAUUCGAAGAGGUGUUCAGGUUGUACUGGAGGGACGGAAGAGAUCUCAGUUGUACAUAUUGUAGGGAAGCGCAGAACCAGUUUUGAGACAUCGGGAUAAGUUCAGUACCGUGGUGGAUAUACAGUUUGGUACAGUACCUCUUGUGACGGGCUCUGAGUCGAUUUGGAACACUGGUAGGAAGAGCGUUGAUGAUUCCGUUUUGCCACCAAUUUCAGCGGAUGCACUGUGUUCAAAUGUCAUGGUGGACUCGUGGAGCGUAGGUAUAGUGGUAUUAUUGAUGUCUGUGAUGCUUUUGGAAUCGUUGAAGGUGAUAGUUCUGACAAGGGGCCUUUUGAUCAAGCACUUGGUUUGGUGUCGCUACAGGGUGUGCUUUGACCCUAUUUGGUCAACAAUAAUUCCUCGAUGAAAUUCUGGGAACUCAAAAUUUGGGUUUAGGUGUCGCUUGUGGACGCCGUGCAGAGGACGAUGGUUUACUUUGGAGAGUUUUAGUUACUGUGUUGAGGAGAUUGGCUAUUUUGAUGCAGACGGAUUUGAAAUCUUGGAAUUUAGUUCAUUGUACUGGAAUUUGAGUCAAGGUGGAGAUUGUUGAAUUUUUUACCCAAAUUAGAGUGGAUUUUUUUUUGGAAAUAUAUUAUUUCCUUAUUUUUAUAUAGGAAAAUUUGUUUCCUUAUAUUUCACGUGAGUUUUAUGGAAAUAUAUUAUUUCCUUAUUCUAUAUUAUUUUUAUCUUUAUGCUAUACCAUGUACCUAUAAAUAGUGGUAUCCUCUUUCAGUUUAGUAGAAGCUUUUAUUGCUGUGUCGUUGUAUUCUCUCCACAUUUUCCAUUAAUAAUACAUCUUCCCUCUGCGUUUAACUCUCUUUUCUUCUUUGCUUUAAACCUUGAUAUAUAUUAUUAUAUUGUUGCAAUCCAUAUUAACUUCAUAUCGCGUCAUUAACUUCAUUCUUUACAACCCCUUGGUCCCAACACAAUUUUGGGUAUCACUGGAUUUUAUUACUGUAAAUUCUGUGAAUUUUUGCUGGAUUUUUAAUUGUUGUAUUAAGUGUUUCC
rnacentral:lncRNA from 1 species